rnacentral:rRNA from 1 species
CCUACGGGAGGCAGCAGUGGGGAAUAUUGCACAAUGGGGGAAACCCUGAUGCAGCGACGCCGCGUGAGUGAAGAAGUAUUUCGUUAUGUAAAGCUCUAUCAGCAGGGAAGAAAAUGACGGUACCUGUGUUAGAAGCCCCGGCUAACUACGUGCCAGCAGCCGCGGUAAUACGUAGGGGGCAAGCGUUAUCCGGAUUUACUGGGUGUAAAGGGAGCGUAGACGGCAGGGCAAGUCUGGGGUGAAAGGCGGGAGCUCAACCCGCGGACUGCGCUGGAAACUGUACGGCUAGAGUGCAGGAGGGGUAAGUGGAAUGUCUGGUGUAGCGGUGAAAUGCGUAGAUAUUAGGAGGAACACCAGUGGCGAAGGCGGCUUACUGGACUGUAACUGACGUUGAGGCUCGAAAGCGUGGGGAGCAAACAGGAUUAGAUACCCUUGUAGUC